ACAUCCAGGACCACUCCUGUUUGAGGGCCGGCU
rnacentral:sRNA from 1 species